AAAACCAGACUAUUGGUGAGAGACAAUAAAUGCGCUAGGACGUCAUUUAAAUACGCGUGUCAUCAAACUUUUGUCUGGCGCGCGUCGCGAGGAAAAACAAAACAAACAACCCGCGGGAAAUAAAAAAAAUGUCAGGCGCAUUUUUAUUUUUCAGAACUGUGGAUAUCGGCUCGAUAUAUUUGGUGGCGGGUUCGGAUACAUGUUGAUUGAAUUUAAUUCCCUUGGCUGAAAUCCAUGAAGGCACGGGAUCUACAGAGCAACUGUAUUAGUGCAGUGAGGACAAGACAUCUCAGAACCAACAUACAGCUGACAGCAGCCCUUCAAGAAGUACUUUAAGACUCUGAUAUGGGAUUCACCAUUACCACAGCUUCAGAUUUGAGUCAUCGGAACGUGGCAUUUUUAAGACUGGAACAUGAAGAAAGCAAACAAUGCAGAGGAAGAAAAUUAUCCCCUUUGGUGAACCCUGCUGACAUGUCUCUCAGAUACUCCCAGAUAAGCUAUCAACUGGAUUUUCCAAAUAGAGGGAAUAUGAUAUAUGGGAAGACCUUAGAUGAAGACAAGGCACCUCGCGGCCUCCCCGGUAGGAGAGGAAAUUGAACAAUGAAUACAUGUUUUACUUUGAAUGAACAAACUCUGAAGUUUUUCGAAAAAAAAAACAAACUUAAUUUGUACCGUUUGCUGACCCAUUAGAAGGAUGUCAUUGUAGAAAGUUGAAAUGUGGUAAGUUUGCUGCUGUAUUAAGAAGUUUGUGAUCAUGUUAAACACACACACUAAGGAGAGAUUAUCGUGUUUUAUAUCCUUUUAGUGCAAAUUUGGACAGUGGAGAGCGAUGCACAUUCCUGAGUUUUGCUAAUACUGCUGCAUAGAAGAGUCUCUUCCAUAUCAAGAAUUAAACUCUGAUAUUAAUUUUUUUAUUCAAGCAUAAGACGUUUACAACGCAUAUCAUUACACACGUGUACAGAGUGUAGCAGAGAAAAGAUGACUAUGUAUUUGUGAGUAUUUGUUAGUUAUAAUACCUGUCGUAUUGAUAUGUGGAGCCAAGUUUGUAUGCACAGUUUUAUUCUUCUUUUCAAACGAAGUGACCUAAAAAAAAAUCCUUCAGUGAUCCAGAUAAUUUGGCAGCAAUUUGUGAAAUAUAUUUUCAUGACUACCCCAUCCCUAAAAAGAAACCAAAUGUGGCCCAUUUCAUUAAAUGUUGAUAUGAUCCCUUGCUUGAAUGAAAACUACCAUGAAAACAGUGAACCUUCUGCUUCCUGAUUCGCUAAUUCAAUGAAAGUUGAUUUUUCAUCAAGAGUUGAUGUCAUAUUAAAUCUUCAUGAAAUGUAGCUCGCAUCAGCUUUUCACUAUUGUGUAUUGCCACCGAAAAAACUUGGUUUUGCAAAAUUGAAUUUUGUUUGUGGUUAUUUUCCAAAGCUUAAGCAUGAUUUUUUUUUUUUUACUUUGCGAGAAAGUGAAGUAUGGACAAACAGCAAGGGGGUGUCUUUUUUUUUUUUUGGGGGGGGGGGGUUAAGGGCAGGGACAAAUAUAGGAUGGAGGUGGGCAGGGGCUUUGGCCCCACUUUUUUUCCCCAGAACGCAUGUAUAAGCAUGUAAAAAAUUACCAUUUGAUUGUGAUUUUUUUUUGCAUGGACAGCCCCUCCCAUUUUCAAAAAAUGUUCUGCGGCGCCUGUGGGGGUGGGCACCCCCCCAAAAAAAAUGAUAAGCUGCCCCCCCCCCCCAACAACAAAAAAAUCAGAUGAAUAACCCAACCCCAUCUUCCCCUGGUCAUUGGAUCUGGGAACCACCUCCCAUGUUAAAACUACGCGCUAUGACGAACUAUAUAUAGUAUGACAAAUAGUCUCCAUACGGGUUUUUUGCAUGUAAUGUGAGUGUGUGGGUGUGGGUUCUAGUGUGGGUGUGGUUGAAUUUGUAGAAUAAUUUGUUUUAUUGUAUUCGCCUAGCUGUGUAUAUAUACAAAUUAUGUCUGCACUACAAAAGAUCACCUCGCCUAUGCCAGGUAUGUUGGGCGUUACAAAAGAACCAACAUUUCCCUAUCAUGAAAAGAUGAAUAAUAAGCCCGACUACCAUGACGACCCAUACAGCCAGGCAGGGGGGUACCCCUGAUUCAAUUGGUCAUAUCUCUAAUUUAAAUAUGAAUUAGACUCUAAUAUUUUGUAUACACAUUGUACAUGUGUCCAUGUACCAGAAAACAUAAAAAAAUCAAAAUCCAAAAUUUCACCUAUAAUACCCAUUUUCCCAGGAUGGCCCACA